UACGUAGGGACCAAGCGUUGUUCGGAUUUACUGGGCGUAAAGGUCGCGUAGGCGGCAUGACAAGUCACUUGUGAAAUCUCCGGGCUUAACUCGGAACGGCCAAGUGAAACUGUCAAGCUAGAGUGCGGAAGGGGCAAUCGGAAUUCUUGGUGUAGCGGUGAAAUGCGUAGAUAUCUGGAGGAACACCGGUGGCGAAGGCGGCAUCCUGGACCGGUAUUGACGCUGAGGCGCGAAAGCCAGGGGAGCAAACGGG
rnacentral:rRNA from 1 species